rnacentral:lncRNA from 1 species
CUUUGAAAACCCAGCCAGCCGAAGAAGCCGCAAAGCAGCAACCAGCAGCCGCCGGAACGCCGCCGUAAGCCCACCGGAGGCCGUCGCACGUCCAGCCGUGCCUCCGCCUCCCUCUCUUCCCUCCUGCUGCCGGCCGACCAGCUCUUCUCUUCCUCCUGGUUGUGCCUUUCAAACCCAGAAAUUUCAUAGGAGAAGCCGCACGUCGCCUGGAGCCGCCGCACGCCGUCGCCGUUCGUCG